AUUGAACGCUGGCGGCAUGCUUUACACAUGCAAGUCGAACGGUAACAGGCCUUCGGGUGCUGACGAGUGGCGAACGGGUGAGUAAUGCAUCGGAACGUGCCCAGAGGUGGGGGAUAACGCAGCGAAAGCUGUGCUAAUACCGCAUGUGAUCUGAGGAUGAAAGCGGGGGACCAGGCAGCAAUGUUUGGCCUCGCGCCUUUGGAGCGGCCGAUGUCAGAUUAGGUAGUUGGUGGGGUAAAGGCCUACCAAGCCGACGAUCUGUAGCUGGUCUGAGAGGACGGCCAGCCACACUGGGACUGAGACACGGCCCAGACUCCUACGGGAGGCAGCAGUGGGGAAUUUUGGACAAUGGGCGCAAGCCUGAUCCAGCAAUGCCGCGUGCGGGAAGAAGGCCUUCGGGUUGUAAACCGCUUUUGUACGGAACGAAAAGGCUCUGGCUAAUACCUGGGGCUGAUGACGGUACCGUAAGAAUAAGCACCGGCUAACUACGUG
rnacentral:rRNA from 1 species